rfam:Echinostoma caproni strain Egypt genome assembly, scaffold: ECPE_scaffold0000265
GGCCUCGUAGGUCAGCUGGUAGAGUAUGCGCAUGCAAAGCAUAGGCGGCGUCCAGGGGUGGGUUCGAAUCCCACCGAGGAUA